UACGUAGGGUGCAAGCGUUAUCCGGAAUUAUUGGGCGUAAAGAGCUCGUAGGCGGUUUGUCACGUCUGCUGUGAAAACUGGAGGCUCAACCUCCAGCUUGCAGUGGGUACGGGCAGACUAGAGUGCGGUAGGGGAGAUUGGAAUUCCUGGUGUAGCGGUGGAAUGCGCAGAUAUCAGGAGGAACACCGAUGGCGAAGGCAGAUCUCUGGGCCGUAACUGACGCUGAGGAGCGAAAGCGUGGGGAGCGAACAGG
rnacentral:rRNA from 1 species